AUUGAACGCUGGCGGCAUGCCUUACACAUGCAAGUCGAACGGCAGCACGGGUGCUUGCACCUGGUGGCGAGUGGCGAACGGGUGAGUAAUACAUCGGAACAUGUCCUGUAGUGGGGGAUAGCCCGGCGAAAGCCGGAUUAAUACCGCAUACGAUCUACGGAUGAAAGCGGGGGACCUUCGGGCCUCGCGCUAUAGGGUUGGCCGAUGGCUGAUUAGCUAGUUGGUGGGGUGAAGGCCUACCAAGGCGACGAUCAGUAGCUGGUCUGAGAGGACGACCAGCCACACUGGGACUGAGACACGGCCCAGACUCCUACGGGAGGCAGCAGUCGGGAAUUUUGGACAAUGGGCGAAAGCCUGAUCCAGCAAUGCCGCGUGUGUGAAGAAGGCCUUCGGGUUGUAAAGCACUUUUGUCCGGAAAGAAAUCCUUGGCCCUAAUACGGUCGGGGGAUGACGGUACCGGAAGAAUAAGCACCGGCUAACUACGUG
rnacentral:rRNA from 1 species